rnacentral:rRNA from 1 species
UCAAGAAACUUCCACAAUGGGCGAAAGCCUGAUGGAGCGACGUCGCGUGAUGGACGAAGUGCUUCGGCACGUAAACAUCUUUUAUGUGGGAUGAAAUUAUUGACAGUACCACAUGAAUAAGGGGCUCCUAACUCUGUGCCAGCAGGAGCGGUAAUACAGAGGCCCCAAGCGUUAUCCGGAAUCACUGGGCGUAAAGGGUGUCGAGGCGGUUGUAUUAGUCGUUCGUAAAAUCUACGAGCUUAACUUGUAGGCGGCGAACGAAACGGUACGACUUGAGGUGUGGAGAGGUGCGUGGAACUCACGGUGUAGGGGUGAAAUCCGUUGAUAUCGUGGGGAACACCAAAGGCGAAGGCAGCGCACUGGCCAAAAUCUGACGCUCACACACGAAAGCUAGGGUAGCGAAGAGGAUUAGAUACCCCCGUAGUCCCUGAGCGGGCUGGCAAGGCGCAU